rnacentral:lncRNA from 1 species
AUGUGCAUGUUACGUGUGUGCAUGUGCGUGUUAUGUGCGUGCGUGUGUGUGUUACGUGCGUGUGUGUGUGUGUGUGUGUGUGUGUAUAUCGGCAUCGCUGGGGAUUACAGGUGGACGCUACUGCGCCCGGCUGGAAUGCAGUACUGUUUUGCCCUGUGCUAUCUGUUCCCCACUCUGGUGGGGUGGGAUGGUGGGUGUGAGCUGCAACACAGAGGUCACUUGGUCCCUUCUCCAGCCCUUCUCAGUCUGCAGUCCAUGGAGGAAACGGAGUUUUAAGCCAGGAGGUGAGAGGAAACCUCCUUGGGCUGGAGGUGACUGCCCAGCGCACCCUGCGCCCCGGUGCCCAGGCCUGUCAGCAUCUCCCUGGACUCACUCCGGGCAGGGUGUGAUCCUCCCGGGUGGGGACCGUUCAGACCAAUGGCGGGGCCCAGAAAGGUUCCUCAAGGAGUUUGAAAACUGACCUGGCCACUCCUCAUUUGAAGAGCGAGGCCCGAGGCCGCACAGCCAGUGGGAGGCCAGGCCCGAGGACCAGACAGCCUGGAACCUGCUCGCCCUCCCGCCCGGAGACUGCUGGUUUCCUGCUGGUCCGGGCCCACAACGCCUCCUAAGAUGCCAGCAGGCACAGGGCAGAGGAGGUCCGACAGCCCAGGGCGCGUCCUUCUGCUGAAAUCUGAAAGUCAGCGCAGCAGGCAGAGAUUCAUGGUGAAGACGAUUCCUGAGGAGGUCCCCUGGAUCCACUGCCCCCGAAGGAUGGUUCUCCAUACCCGUGGUUGUGUGUGUGUAAUGCUGUGCAGUGACACCAGCGUGUAGAUGUAGGAAAUAAACGAUAGUAGUGGAUGAUACAGCAUGGUAUACGGUGCGAAGUAAAAUAAAUGUAAUGCACAGGACAAAACAUGUGUUUAUAUCAAAGUUUUUUCUCUUUUUCUGCUAGGACCUCUCACUGAGCUACAUCCCAGCUGCUGAUUCACUGUUAAUUUUGAGACAGUAUCUUGCUAAAUUGCCCAGGCUGGAUUAGAGUUUGUAAUCCUCCUGCCUCAGCCUCCUAAGUAGCU